GACGAACGCUGGCGGCGUGCUUAACACAUGCAAGUCGAACGGAAAGGCCCUGCUUUUGUGGGGUGCUCGAGUGGCGAACGGGUGAGUAACACGUGAGUAACCUGCCCUUGACUUUGGGGUAACUUCAGGAAACUGGGGCUAAUACCGGAUAGGAGCUCCUGCUGCAUAGUGGGGGUUGGAAAGUUUCGGCGGUUGGGGAUGGACUCGCGGCUUAUCAGCUUGUUGGUGGGGUAGUGGCUUACCAAGGCUUUGACGGGUAGCCGGCCUGAGAGGGUGACCGGCCACAUUGGGACUGAGAUACGGCCCAGACUCCUACGGGAGGCAGAAGUGGGGAAUAUUGCACAAUGGGCGGAAGCCUGAUGCAGCAACGCCGCGUGCGGGAUGACGGCCUUCGGGUUGUAAACCGCUUUCGCCUGUGACGAAGCGUGAGUGACGGUAAUGGGUAAAGAAGCACCGGCUAACUACGUG
rnacentral:rRNA from 1 species